ACUUGAAUAGCUUAAUUCUAGAGCAUAACAUUGAAGGUGUUGGGGUGAUAAAUUAUCUUUAAGUU
rnacentral:tRNA from 1 species